AUGCCGGCGGUGUGCGCCGUGCUCAUCCUGCUGCUGCUGCUGUCUGCUGCCUCACGUUGCGAGGCUGACCUCCUGCAGGUGACGGUGGCUGGCCGGAGAAUGCUGGCCGGUGGGAGCAAUGUCGCCGCCGUCUUCUCGAGGGAGGCGGCGACGACCGUGGCGAGUAGCGCACGGCAGUCAGCAGCUGGAAGAGCGGCCAUGCCUUACUCAGAGUCCAAGAGGUCCAGCCCCGGCGGCCCGGACCCUCAGCACCACUAA
rnacentral:rRNA from 1 species